GGAGAAAGAGGCGGAGAAGAGGAAGCAGAGAUGGGCGUUUUGGGGGAGAAAGUGGAGGAGAUUAGAUUAUUUCAAACUCACUGCUUCGUUGUUUGUGCAUUCGAUGGCUCUCUUGGCUCCGUUUUAUUUCAGCUGGUCAGCACUUUGGGUUACCUUUUUGUUUUAUACGAUUGGUGGUCUCGGUAUUACGGUGUCUUAUCACCGGAACUUGGCUCACCGGAGUUUCAAAGUCCCUAAAUGGCUCGAGUAUCUCUUGGCCUAUUGUGCCCUUCUCGCCAUUCAGGUCCAUAUCAAUAAACUAAAUUAUAAUUUUCAUUAUUUACUCAAUUUGGUCCAAUAGAUCUUUAGAUCUUAAUAUUAAUUAGUAGUAUCUUUUAUUUUUAUUGAUUAUAAUUCUUUUUUUUUUAAUAGGGAGAUCCGAUUGAUUGGGUGAGCACUCAUCGAUAUCAUCACCAAUUCACGGAUUCAGAACGAGAUCCACAUAGCCCUAAGGAAGGCUUUUGGUUUAGUCAUCUCCUAUGGAUUUAUGAUUCCGCAUAUCUCGUUACAAAGGUGAUUUUCAAUAUUUUAUAAGUCGUUUGUUAUAACGACAAGAUCUAAAUCAUUAUGUUUGAAUGAAUGAAUGUAGUGUGGAAGAAGAACAAACGUGGACGAUUUGAAGAGGCAAUGGUUCUAUAGGUUUCUUCAAAAGACAGUGCUGUUUCACAUUCUAGGACUUGGUAUCAUUCUCUUCUACCUCGGUGGCAUGUCCUUCGUUACUUGGGGAAUGGUAACAUUGAAUCUCCCUCUCUCUUGUUUUCGAUGAAAAUAAAAUACUGUCGUACUAGUAUAUUAUAGCAUUAAAUUAUAAUUGACUGAGUUUUGGGGGAGAAAGUGGAGGAGAUUAGAUUAUUUCAAACUCACGGCUUCAUUGUUUGUGCAUUCGAUGGCUCUCUUGGCUCCGUUCUAUUUCAGCUGGUCAGCACUUUGGGUUACCUUUUUGUUUUAUACGAUUGGUGGUCUCGGUAUUACGGUGUCGUAUCACCGGAACUUGGCUCACCGGAGUUUCAAAGUCCCUAAAUGGCUCGAGUAUCUCUUGGCCUAUUGUGCCCUUCUCGCCA
rnacentral:lncRNA from 1 species